rfam:Populus trichocarpa scaffold_9_contig_92, whole genome shotgun sequence.
UCUAGAACUCGAGAUAUGGGUUGAACACUGAACAAUGUUUGGGCUGUAGGAUAAAUUCGGACAUCUCCGUUGUUGCUAUAAUUUGGACUUGAAAACAACAUUUUUAAAUCUUGAACUCCCAUGAACGUUUUAGGCCUAUGUCUUAGCUUUCUAUC